UAUGUUCAGGUGAAUUACAUU
rnacentral:piRNA from 1 species